CAGGUCGGGCUCAGGGUUCAGCCCCGCAGACACGGUCGCCAUCAUGUUCUGCUCCACACACAAGUCUCUCACUCUGGGUGUCCCCAUGUUGAAGAUCGUGUUUGAGGGUUUCGAGCAUCUCUCUCUGAUCUCAGUCCCUCUGCUCAUCUAUCACCCGGCUCAGAUUCUGCUCGGCUCCGUCCUCGUCCCCUCCAUCCGCAGCUGGAUGACCAGCAGGCAGAAGUCUAGUCUGUUGUUGAGAUAGGGCCGCAUUCCAACACUGCUGACCAGAGUGAGUAGAGAACUGACGCAAAACACUCAAUUUAAAUAAUUCUCCUUUUUUAUUUUGAAUAAUCCGAGCUGCUGAUCUGCUGUCAUUGUUUAUUUUAAGCUCCUCUCUUUUUAUUUGAUUUUUUAAUUGUUGCGCUGUGUGUGCAGCAGCUCCCUCUGCUGUCCGCCUGCAUGAGCCGCCUGCUUCUGCUCCAGCAGCGCUGCACUGGACCGAUGGUGGUGGUGAUCGAUGCAAUGACGCCAGAAAAUUACUGCAAAUUUAAAUAUUUAAUAUUUUAAUUUAAACUCGUGCAUGCUGCUCAGGAUAAUCUCAAUCCACGGCUCCUCUGACAGCAGCGUGGGGACUGUCCCUCUCCUCCUGCACUGUUUAUAUACAAUAAAUCAUUUAACUUAAUCAACUUUUAGU